GUUAAAUACGUAAUCAAUAUGGAAGUGGCCACGUAUUGAACCGCGAUGAAACAACAAGUUUCCAUUACCUAAGUCAAUUGUAAUUCAGUGCGUCAAGGAUUAAAAACGUGCAUAAGAACACCGUGUGUGUACUCACUAACCCUUUCAUAUUAGAGUUGUACGCCCUCCUGCCAAACAUACAUAUUCCUUGUGUACAAUGUGUCUCUUAGUGGGUACAACAACGUUUUAUUUUACAGAUGUGUUAUAACUCCGAUCUCAAACUAAAUCGACGUUCUCCCACGUAACUGUACAGGUCUACAUACGUACAAAAAUUUACAUCUACCUCAUCACUGCAGUUUCAUCCCCAACUCAAUUGGGUUGGUGUCAGGCUAAGGCUGAUUACAUACAGUAACAACGGAAGAAACAGAUUUGGAAUGCAAGCUGUGAAAAAGAUGUGGGAGGAAUCAUUGGAACAGAGGAAGAAACCAUUCAUUAUGCAGUCAAUUUGUCUUACAAACAGCAAGUCUCUGAAAGAACUGUAUAUUAUGUAUCUAUAUAUACAUGCAUAAAAAAGAUUAUGAAUUGGA